rnacentral:lncRNA from 1 species
GAUGGGAGCGGGUAUAAAGCGGAAACAACCCUUAUCGAAACCAUAUGAGGCAAACUAAAAACAUUAUCGAACAAAUCAAUAAACUGACCUCUUGAAGCGCAGAAUCGCUCACCGGUCUUCUUUUCAGAGAUCUUGGAGUCACCCACGAUCUUCUGCAGUAAUCCCUAACUAUCUCUCUUUUGGAACUCUCUGAGUGGCAGAGAAUAGAAUAACG